UGGGGAAUUUUGGACAAUGGGCGAAAGCCUGAUCCAGCAAUGCCGCGUGUGUGAAGAAGGCCUUCGGGUUGUAAAGCACUUUUGUCCGGAAAGAAAUCCUUGGCUCUAAUACAGUCGGGGGAUGACGGUACCGGAAGAAUAAGCACCGGCUAACUACGUGCCAGCAGCCGCGGUAAUACGUAGGGUGCAAGCGUUAAUCGGAAUUACUGGGCGUAAAACGUGCGCAGGCGGUUUGCUAAGACCGAUGUGAAAUCCCCGGGCUCAACCUGGGAACUGCAUUGGUGACUGGCAGGCUAGAGUAUGGCAGAGGGGGGUAGAAUUCCACGUGUAGCAGUGAAAUGCGUAGAGAUGUGGAGGAAUACCGAUGGCGAAGGCAGCCCCCUGGGCCAAAUACUGACGCUCAUGCACGAAAAGCGUGGGGGAGCAAAACAGGAUUAGAUACCCUGGUAGUCCACGCCCUAAAACGAUGUCAACUAGUUGUUGGGGAUUCAUUUCCUUAGUAACGUAGCUAACGCGUGAAGUUGACCGCCUGGGGAGUACGGUCGCAAGAUUAAAAACUUAAAGGAAUUGACGGGGUCAUAGCUGUUUCCU
rnacentral:rRNA from 1 species